rnacentral:rRNA from 1 species
CCUACGGGUGGCUGCAGUGGGGAAUAUUGCACAAUGGGCGCAAGCCUGAUGCAGCCAUGCCGCGUGUGUGAAGAAGGCCUUCGGGUUGUAAAGCACUUUCAGCGGGGAGGAAGGCGGUGAGGUUAAUAACCUCAUCGAUUGACGUUACCCGCAGAAGAAGCACCGGCUAACUCCGUGCCAGCAGCCGCGGUAAUACGGAGGGUGCAAGCGUUAAUCGGAAUUACUGGGCGUAAAGCGCACGCAGGCGGUCUGUCAAGUCGGAUGUGAAAUCCCCGGGCUCAACCUGGGAACUGCAUUCGAAACUGGCAGGCUAGAGUCUUGUAGAGGGGGGUAGAAUUCCAGGUGUAGCGGUGAAAUGCGUAGAGAUCUGGAGGAAUACCGGUGGCGAAGGCGGCCCCCUGGACAAAGACUGACGCUCAGGUGCGAAAGCGUGGGGAGCAAACAGGAUAGAUACCCGAGUAGUC